rnacentral:rRNA from 1 species
AGAGUUUGAUCAUGGCUCAGAACGAACGCUGGCGGCAUGCCUAACACAUGCAAGUCGAACGGUAACAGCGGAGCUUGCUCCGGCUGACGAGUGGCGCACGGGUGAGUAACGCGUGGGAACCUGCCCUGGAGUGGGGAACAACCGCUGGAAACGGCGACUAAUACCGCAUACGCCCUUAGGGGGAAAGCUUUAUGCGCUCUAGGAUGGGCCCGCGUCGGAUUAGCUUGUUGGUGAGGUAACGGCCUACCAAGGCGACGAUCAGUAUCUGGUUUGAGAGGACGAUCAGACACACUGGAACUGAGACACGGUCCAGACUCCUACGGGAGGCAGCAGUGGGGAAUUUUCCGCAAUGGGCGAAAGCCUGACGGAGCAAUACCGCGUGAGGGAGGACGGCCUAUGGGUUGUAAACCUCUUUUUUCAGGGAGGAAUCAAAUGACGUGUACCUGAAGAAUAAGCAUCGGCUAACUCCGUGCCAGCAGCCGCGGUAAGACGGAGGAUGCAAGUGUUAUCCGGAAUCACUGGGCGUAAAGCGUCUGUAGGUGGUCUAAUAAGUCAACUGUUAAAUCUUGAGGCUCAACCUCGAAAUCGCAGUCGAAACUAUUAGACUAGAGUAUAGUAGGGGUAAAGGGAAUUUCCAGUGGAGCGGUGAAAUGCGUAGAGAUUGGAAAGAACACCGAUGGCGAAGGC